rnacentral:lncRNA from 10 species
AGCAAAUAUCAGAAUCACCUGGCGGUCUUGAUGAAACACAAGCUGCUGAGCUUUACUCCAGAAUUUCUGGUUCAGUAGGUCUGCAGUAGGACCUGAAAUUUUAUAUUUCUAACAAGUUUUCAGGAGCUGCUGAUGCCGCUAGUACAGGGCUCACAUUUUGAGAACCUCUGGUCUAGCAAGUUGCCACCAAGAAUGAAGAUUGGGCCAGAGAACAGGAGGAAAUUUGUUUUGCAACAGAAAACAUAAGAAAUUUUCCCUGCUUGGAAGAUACUCAUACAUACCAGUUAAGCCAGACAUCUAAAACCAAGAUGACGAUGAAACUUUUCAAGUUGACACAUCUUACGAGUUUUAAAUUCUUAUUACCUUAAACCCAUAUUUUCCACACUGUAUCUUUGAAGAAAAAGAAGGACAUCCUGAAGGCUAUUCUGAAACAAGUCAACAUUUUGAUUUCAAACAUCAAAAAAGGUGUCCAGAAAUCUCAAGAAUUUGAGACAUCCUAAGGAACUUUAAGUGCUGUGAGCCACAAGUAACAUCAAGAAAAGACAGGGAUGAAGAACCGCACUUACAAGCUAAGUAAGAUUAAACCCAGCAUGGAGAUAUAUGAAUUAAUAUGAACUCUGAGAAAGAAAUUGGUCAGCUAAAAAAUAUAUGGCUUUCCUGAAUAGACAAAAGAACAAAGAUUUUCCCUUUGAGAUUCGGCAGGAAGCUUGCACCGAGUGAAGGAUUUAUAAAGAUUAUAGGAGAUAACACAAAGCUAUUUUAUCUCUUUAAAAAAAAUCAAAGGUGUAAGCUCAUCCUACACAUGUCAUUUGGACCAGACCAAGGCUGCUGUCAUGGAGGACCCACACCACAGCUUGGGAACCAUUCAUCUACCAGAGGGUCACAUGACUUCAAAUGACUCUUCUAGGGGCCACCUGCCAUGAUAGGGUACCAGCUCUUCCUCUGAAUUCCCAAUCCAUUUCUUGAGAACUACUGUUUCUAAUAAGGUACUGUUUCUAAUACCUUUCCAAAGGAUUUGCUCAAAAUGGAUUUGCAAAGAGAAAAAAAAUUUAAUGUCACACUGCCAUGAUAAGUCAACCAACCAUCUCAUAUAUCAAAGGAGAGAGGCAGAGAAAGAAAAGGAGGAGGAUAAAGAAGAGGAGGAAGAGGACGAAAGGAAAACCAAGAGGAGGAGAAGCCACUUCUUACUUUGGAUUAAUGUGAAACUAAAUAGUUUACUACAUUUUAAGUGGGAAAAUGUUAGUUGAAAAGAUAUUUGUCAACCACAAACAUUUGAAAGGGAAGCAUUCCAAAGAUUUUCACUGUUUAUGUUCAAAUUACAACAUGUGCAGAAAGUUGUGCAACUGAAAAUCCUUUCAAACAACAGCUACAAAAGAGAUUGGUCAGUUAGGACAGGAAUAGAAAGUGGAAACUUAGAAGACUGGCUACUCCUUGUGUAUGAUUGCUGGGGUGAGUCUGUGCUGAGAACUUUUUACAAAGGGUGUCCUUUGCUGAUAUGAGAGGGGGGUGUCAAACUUUUGAGUGAUCACUGUGGGUCCUCAGCUUAGACAUCUUCUCUGGCCCAAGAUGGCACCCCUUGCUCUCUUUCCAUGGGACACAGGGACCUUGCCAUCCUUCCAUCUUAUAAGCCUUCUGUCAUGAUUUUUACUUCAUCCUAGAUAGCCUUAA